rnacentral:tRNA from 1 species
UGGCUUAGUGGUAGAGCGCUUGCCUUGCAUGCAAGAGGCCCUGGGUUCAAUUCCUCAG